CAGUCAAAGGAGAUCGAUUCCGUAAAAGAUGAGAUCAGUAAAUGACAAUUAACUGAAAUUUAAUCUUUGUGAGAUCGUCAAUAUUGUACUGAGGGCGUCUUUAGUGUAUACCAAAUCAGUAUAGCUAUCCUUCUUCUGACACAGCAACGCAAUUUGAAUUAGUAUCAAAAGUAAGUACUAAAUAAUUUCUUUUUUCCUUUACUUGUUGAUGUAAAAUCAUCGUCCAUUCAAUAUCA